rnacentral:rRNA from 1 species
UGCAGUCGAGCGAACGAAUGAAAAACUUGCUUCUCUGAUGGUAGCGGGGGACGGGUGAGUAACACGUGUCUGACUUACCUAUAACACUGGGAUUACUCCGGGAAACCGGGGCUAAUACCCGAUAAUAUUUUGAACCGGAUGGUUCGAUAUCGACAGACCUUUUCCGAUGGCACUUAUCGAUGGACCCGCACCGUAUUAGCUAGGUGGAAGGGCACCGGCUUACCAAGGCGACGAUACGUAGACAACCUGAGAGGGCGAUCUGCCACUCUGAAACUGACCCAACUCCCAGACUCCUACGGGAGGCAGAAUAUUGGAAUCUUCCCCCAUGCCUGAAACCCUGACGGAGCGAGGCCGCGUGAGGGAUGAAGGUCUUCGGAUCCUUUUGCUCUGAUGUAAGGGAAGAACACUUUUGUUAGUAACUGAUCACGUCUUGACGGUACCUAACCACAAAUCCCCGGCUAACUACGUGCCAGCAACCGCGGUAGUACCUAGGUGGACUCCGAUAUCCUGAAUUAUUGGGCGUAGAGCGCGCGUAUGCGAUUUCUUAGUUCUGAUGUGAAACUCCACGUGUCAACCGUGGAGGAUCAUUGGAAACUGGAAAGCUUGAGAGCAGAACAGGAGAGUGGAAUUCCAUGUGUAACGCUGAAAUGCGCAGAGAUAUGUAGGAGCACCAGUGGCGAACGCGGAUCUCUGCUGUGUCUCUGACGCUGAUGUGCGAGAAACGUGAUGGAUCUUACAUGGAUUAGAUACCCCUG